GACGAACGCUGGCGGCGUGCCUAAUACAUGCAAGUCGAACGCAGUGGGGACGGGUGAGUAACACGUGGGUAACCUCCCAUCAGAGGGGAUAACACUUGGAAACAGGUGCUAAACCGAUACUGAUGGAUGGACCCGCGGUGCAUUAGCUAGUUGGUGAGGUAACGGCUCACCAAGGCCACGAUGCAUAGCCAACAUGGGAGGGUGUGGGGCCACACUGGGACUGAGACACGGCCCAGACCCCUACGGAAGGAAGCAUUAAGGAAUCUUCGGCAAUGGACGAAAGUCUGACCGGGCAACGCCGCGUAAGUGAAGAAGGUUUUCGGAUCGUAAAACUCUUUUGUUAGAGAAGCGGUAUCUAUCCAGAAAGCCGCGGCUAACUACGUGCCAGCAGCCGCGGUAAUC
rnacentral:rRNA from 1 species